UACGAAGGGGGCUAGCGUUGCUCGGAAUCACUGGGCGUAAAGCGCACGUAGGCGGAUUGUUAAGUCAGGGGUGAAAUCCUGGAGCUCAACUCCAGAACUGCCUUUGAUACUGGCGAUCUCGAGUCCGGGAGAGGUGAGUGGAACCUGCGAGUGUAGAGGUGAAAUUCGUAGAUAUUCGGCAAGAACACCAGUGGCGAAGGCGGCUCACUGGCCCGGUACUGACGCUGAGUGCGAAAGCGUGGGGAGCAA
rnacentral:rRNA from 1 species